CGCGGCCUAUCAGCUUGUUGGUGGGGUUGUGGCCUACCAAGGCGACGACGGGUAGCCGGCCUGAGAGGGUGACCGGCCUCACUGGGACUGAGACACGGCCCAGACCCCUACGGGAGGCAGCAGUGGGGAAUAUUGGACAAUGGGCGGAAGCCUGAUCCAGCAACGCCGCGUGAGGGAUGACGGCCUUCGGGUUGUAAACCUCUUUCACCUCCGACGAAGCGUGAGUGACGGUAGGGGGAGAAGAAGCACCGGCCAACUACGUGCCAGCAGCCGCGGUAAUACGUAGGGUGCGAGCGUUGUCCGGAAUUAUUGGGCGUAAAGGGCUCGUAGGCGGUUUGUCGCGUCGGGAGUGAAAACACCGGGCUUAACUCGGUGCUUGCUUCCGAUACGGGCAGACUAGAGGUAUUCAGGGGAGAACGGAAUUCCUGGUGUAGCGGUGAAAUGCGCAGAUAUCAGGAGGAACACCGGUGGCGAAGGCGGUUCUCUGGGAAUUACCUGACGCUGAGGAGCGAAAGUGUGGGGAGCGAACAGGAUUAGAUACCCUGGUAGUCCACACCGUAAACGUUGGGCGCUAGGUGUGGGACCCGUCCACGGGUUCCGUGCCGCAGCUAACGCAUUAAGCGCCCCGCCUGGGGAGUACGGA
rnacentral:rRNA from 1 species